rnacentral:rRNA from 1 species
UAGCCGUAAACGAUACUCGCUAGGUGUCGGCCACGGUGCGACCGUUGUCGGUGCCGUAGGGAAGCCGUGAAGCGAGCCACCUGGGAAGUACGGCCGCAAGGCUGAAACUUAGAGGAAUUGGCGGGGGAGCACCACAACGGGUGGAGCUUGCGGUUUAAUUGGAUUCAACGCCGGAAAUCUUACCGGGACCGACAGCAACAUGAAGGCCAGGCUGAAGACUUUGCCGGAUUAGCUGAGAGGUGGUGCAUGGCGUAGUCGUGU